GAGUUCUGGACUCAUUGCUGAGCCUGGAACACCAGGUUUUGACAGUGACCAGGGAGCAUUGGCACAAUUAAAACUUGUGCGCCAGUUGUGCCCAUACCUUAGGAAGUCAGACUUCACUACAGUAGUCCAUGCUCUUGUUACAACCCAAAUAGGGUUGCCUUUAAAGACUGUUCGGAAGCUUCAAAUGGUCCAAUGGGCAGCAGCCAGAUUGCUCACCGGAGUGGCAUACAGGAAGCACACAACCCCCCUGUUACGUCAACUCCACUGGUUGCCAGUCUGCUACCGAGCAGGCUUUAGCCUAUAUAGCCCUAAACACUGAAAUACAACACCUCCUGAGCUCUGCAAGUGCAGCAUUUUUCUGUAUAAAGCAGAGAGUGUUUGAUGAUCGGGAUAUCCGUAGAGAUACGAAGGUGCUCGUUUAUAAAGCCAUUGUCCCCCCCAACCCUGCUAUACACCUGCGAAACGUGGACAGUCUACAGACGUCACACUCAACUCCUGGAGCGUUUCCAUCAGUGUUGCCUCAGAAAAAUCCUGCAAAUCUCUUGAACAAAUGCCAGCAUGCUGGAAGAAGCAAAGACCACCAGCAUUGAAGCGAUGCUCCUAUGCCAUCAACUCCACUGGACUGGCCACGUUGUCCAAAUGCCCGAUCACUGUCUCCCAAAGCAGCUACUCUACUCCGAACUCAAGAAUGGAAAACAGAAUGUUGGUGGGCAGGAAAAGAAAUUUAAAGAUGGGCUUAAAGCCAACCUUAAAAACUGUGGCAUAGACACUGAGAACUGGGGAGCCCUGGCCCUUGAGCGCUCUAAUUGGAGGUCAGCUGUGACCAACUGUGCGGAGUUCGAAGAGGCACGAAUGGAGGGCUUAAGGGAGAAACAUGCCAAGAGGAAGGUGCAUCAGGCCAAUGCCUUCCACCUGGAAACCGAUGUCCUCACUGCAGGAGAACAUGCAGAUCAAGAAUAGGUCCCUUCAGCCACCUACGGACAAAUCCCCAAGACACUAGAAAUGAAGGACCAUCAUCCUCGGCCUACGAGGGAUCGCCUAAAUAAGUAAGUCUAGCCUAGCUUACGUUUCUGAAUGUAUCUCCCUCUAUUAACAACCUCAGAGUUUAAGAAUGUCUGGUUGGUUCUGCUCUCGGUCCCACUGCCUUCGCAGGUGCGAUUGGCUGGGACAAGAGGCAGGGCCUUCUCAGUAAUGGCCCCUUGGCUAUGAAAUUCCAUUCCCAAGGAUGUUAGAUCAGUCCCCUCCCUCUCGACUUUCCGUAAGAGAGUAAAAACAUGGCUUUGUGACCAAGCUUUUGGAGAACUUGUGGAAUAGAUAGGUAUGGAAUAAUGUGGAAUGAUUAUAGGAAUGGCCCGGACUACGCUUGUGGAUUAUGUGAUUAAUUGUUGUUUUAAAUGUUUCUAAUUGUUUUAAUGUAUUCUGUUAUUCUAUUUAAAUGUUCUUUUUAAUUGUAUAUUGUUUAUAAGGCAUCAAAUAGUUGCCUAUGUGUAAAGCCACCUUAAGUCACCUUUGGGGUAGAGAAAGGCGGGGUAGAAAUGUCAUAAAUAAAUAAAUAAUAAAAGAGGAAGACUGUAUUAUAGAUAGAUGGACUCAACAAAGGAAAUCACGUCUGCCCUGAGUCUGCAAAAUCUGAUCAGAGAAGUUGAUGAAAGACUUGAAAGACUUUCAUUCACUGGGUCACCAUAAAUCAAGAUCAACUUGAAAGCAAUUAAUAACAACAAAAAGGGGUGGGAACAAAAAGGGGAAAGAACUGGGAGAACCGUUGAUGAACUAGUUCAUCUCAGCUUGGGGGAGGAAAGAAAUGGCACUUUGUUUACAGACGGACUGUACCAUCAUAUCUUUUCCUCCUGGAGCUACAUUGGUUGAACUGAAUUGCUUGUCUCCUUGUUCUAUUUCCAACCUAUCAAUAGGCAACAGCAGUCAGGCAUUGAGAACUAGGGGAAGAUCAUGGUGCAUAGGCUAUACAGAAUAGUUCCUUGUGGUUCACCCAGAAAGACACGUACAUGCACCUAAGCCACAUUUAUGAAUGUGCAUGUCAUUGAGAGAUUUCUGGCUAUUACACGCUUAGAUGGCUUCUUCAGAUAAGAGUCAAUUCACUGGGAGUCAUCCUUGAAAGUACAACACUCUUCACAUCAGGAUGAAAGGAGACAUAAGUGAAUAGCUCUUUCUCCUUUUAGCUCUGCAAAAUUUCUGGCUUGUUCACAAGAGACUUGGUAGAUAAAAGACUGUUCCACAAUGCAGACUUGCCCCAUCAUCUUGGUUUUAAAAAUACUGACAAUCCUAGUUGGAGAUCUUUAAGAGUGUGACCCACAACAACAGUUUAGAGGAUAACUAGAGACAUACUUCCAAGACAUCUGAUGGAAAGCAUCACUGUGGGGAAAAGUGUUUUUGAAACACGUUAAAAACAGUUUUUGAAAAAAAAAUCUAUUUCCAAAAUACAAGCUCAUGAUCCCUUCUGUCUAUCACUGAAAUGGAACAUAAAUAGCAUGGAAACUACAUUUCCAUCGCUAAUAAACAAGUGUUCUCAAGCAUGGAAAUGUCAUGUGACUCAGCAUUGACGCAAGAAUGCCGAGAAGCGUCCCCACAAAAUUCCUAUUUAGGGAACAGGAGGCUUUUUGAAUGUCUUUAGGUUCAAGGUUGUUUGCAGGAGGAAACAGGUUACAUAUUAUAAAAAUGUAAUGAGCAGUAAUUCCUCACGUACCGAACAGCCAUGCCUCAGGUAAAGAGCAGUGCAGGGGGGAAAAAAUGACAAACUCAUGAUUCCAAAGGUGAAAGCAUGUGAGUUUCUUGUGGCAAAACCAAGGAAUAUUACUGUGACAAAGACUAAGGUUUUCAUUAUAGUAGAAGUGUAUAUUGUAAUAAAUAUUCGUCAUUAAGAAAGGACUGAGAAAAUUGUGAGGGUCGAGAAGCCAUUUUUACCUCCUUCAGUCUCAACGAGAACAUUGCAAGAAGGGGGGAACUGUCCAAAAAUAACAAAUCUUGCCUUAGGGGCACUUGAGGGUACCAUAUAAAUACUAUUUUUUUCUCCCAACCUCAUUUUAGGUCAGAAAAUACUCUUUAAGGAACUAGCCAGAUAGCCAUUACUGUUUAUAAAAAGGACUAUUUCAGUCCUGACGCAGACUGAAGUGGAGGAUGAAUAGCUUUAAAUACCAAAACAUUCGCCUGAAGCUCCCAGGAGAACAAUUUGCAGAGUAUGCGUGAUAGAAAUAGAACUUGCUACCCAAUAACCUGAUGAAGGCUCUUGUGGGCCGAAACCGGUUGUGAAUCUUGGAGUCUACUUAUUUGCAGUAAAGAAACCAGAACAUUUGCUGCACAAGGAUUUGCAGUCUACUCAUCUAUAAUAAAGACCCAAGAAUUAU